rnacentral:lncRNA from 1 species
UCCAAUCAGGUGGUUGAACAAUAGGUGUAGAAAUCAAGGCUUUCUUAAGUAUUUCAAAGGCUUCUACACAAUCAUCAUCAGAAACAAAUGGGACAUCUUUUUGCAAAAGAUUAGUAAGAGGCCUAGAAAUUUUAGAGAAGUCUUUAAUAAAUCUCCUAUAGAAACCAGCAUGACCAAGGAAACUUCUUAUACCUUUCACAUCUUUAGGACGCGACAUUUUUUUCAAUAGCAUCAACUUUAGCUUUAUCAACUUCAAUGCCUCUUUCGGAGAUUUUAUGCCCCAAGACAAUACCUUCAUUAACCAUAAAGUGGCACUUCUCCCAAUUCAAGACAAGAUUAGUUUCUUCACAUCUCUGCAAAACUCGAUCAAGGUUACUUAAGCAAUCAUCAAAAGAAGUUCCAUAAAUGGAGAAAUCAUCCAUGAAAACCUCAACAAUCUUUUCACAAAACUCAGAGAAUACAGUAGUCAUACAUCUUUGAAAGGUAGUAGGUGAAUUGCAUAAACCAAAAGGCAUACAUAUAUAAGCAAAGGUGCCGAAAGGGCAAGUAAAAGUAGUUUUUUUCUUAAUCCUCUUGUGACACAGGUAUUUGAGAAAAACCAGAAUAACCAUCAAGAAAGCAAAAGUGUGUAUGUUUUGAUAGUCUUUCUAGCAUUUGAUCAAUAAAAGGUAGAGGGUAAUGAUCUUUCCUAGUAGCUUUGUUUAAUUUGCAAAAAUCAAUUACCAUUUUGUAACCUGCAAGAAUUCUUUGUGGGAUCAAUUCAUUCUUAUCAUUAGGAACAACAGUAAUACCUCCCUGCUUAGGGGCACAACGAACAGGACUUACCCAUCUACUAUCAGCAAUAGGAUAAAUUAUACCUGCUUCCAGAAGCUUUAGUAUUUCAUUUCUUGCCACUUCCUUCAUCUUAGGAUUUAACCGUCGCUGAUGAUCAACAACCGGUUUAGCGUCGGGCUCCAUAUUAAUUCUGUGCUGACAUAGAGUGGGACUGAUGCCCUUAAGAUCAUCAAGAGUAUAUCCAAUAGUGGCAUGGUGCUUCUUCAGAGUUUUCAACAAUUUCUUUUCUUCGUAGUCUGAAAGGUUAGCACUAAUAAUAACAUGAUAUAUCUUAUUUUCAUCAAGAUAAGCAUAUUUCAAUGUAUCUGGUAAUUGCUUAAGAUCAAACACAUGAUCACUCUUGGGUGGUAGAGGAUCUCCAAGAGUCUCAACAGGCAAAUUGUGUUUCAAACAUGCAUCUAUUUAAAGAAUAUUUCAUCUAAUUCCUUUCUUUCAUUCAUGAACAUAUCGUUUUCAUGAUCUAGCAAAUAUUGUUCUAAAGGAUCAGUAGGAGGCACGACAAUAGAAACAAGACCAAUAAUUUUAUCUUUACUAGGCAAUUCUUUAUCAUGGGGUUGUCUACGAAAUUAGGAGAAAUUAAAAUAAUGAGACACAUCCCCAAAACUUACACUAAUCGUUUCUUUCUCGCAAUCUAUCUUAGCAUUAACAGCAUUGAAGAAAGGUCUACCAAAUAUAAUGGGAAAAAAUCAUCUUGUGGGGAACCAAGAACAAGAAAAUCAGUAGGGUAUUUUAUUUUCCCACACAAGACUUCAACAUAUCUAACAAUCCCAAUUGGUGAUAUAGUAUCUCUAUUAGCAAGCUUAAUAGUAACAUCAAUAUCUUCUAUCUCAGCAGGUGCAAUAUCAUUCAUUAUUUCUUGAUAUAAGGUAAAGGGAAUUGCACUCACACUAGCACCCAAAUCACAUAAGCCAUGGUAACAAUGAUCUCCUAUUUUAACAGGAACAACAGGCAUGCCAACAACAGGCCUAUGUUUAUCUUUAUUAUCGGGUCUAGCAAUUCCAGGAGCUUCAUCACAGAAAUAAAUAACAUGCCCGUCAAUAUUAUCGACCAAGAGAUCUUUAACCAUAGCAAUACUAGGUUUAACUUUAAUUUGUUUAGGGGGUGUAGGUGUUCUAGUAUAACUCUGACGAACCACAGUUGAACCUUUAGCAAGAUCUUUUAUCCUAAUAGGGAAAGGUGGUUUCUCAAUAUAAGCAGUAGGAAUAACAGGAUCAACAUUAUAAGUAAUAGUUUCUUCGUCAACUUUAAUAGGUUCUACUACUUUUACUUCAAUGGGAGGAUGAUAUUUAAACCACUUCUCCUUGGGGAGAUCAACAUGAGUAGAAAAUGAUUCACAGAAAGAAGCUACUAUCUCAGAGUCUAGUCCAUAUUUAGUGCUAAAUUCACGAAAAACAUCGGUAUCCAUAAAGGUGUUAACACAAUCAAACUUAAGGUUUAUACCUGAUUCCUUACCUUCGUCGAGUUCCCAAUCUUCAGAGUUGCGUUUAAUUCUUUCCAAUAAAUCCCAUUUGAAUUCAAUAGUCUUCUUCAUAAAAGAACCAGUACAAGAAGUAGCAUGGAUUGAUCAUUACAAGAAAGCCGAGCAUAAAAAUUCUGAAUAAUAAUUUCUCUUGAGAGCUCAUGAUUGGGGCAUGAAUAUAGCAUUGACUUAAGCCUCACCAAAGCUUGAGCGAUACUUUCUCCUUCAUGAGGCCAAAAAUUAUAUAUAUAAUUCUGAUCACGAUGAACCAGAUGCAUAGGAUAAAACUUCUGAUGAAAUUCCAAUUUCAAUCGGUUGUAGUUCCAAGCUCCAAUAUCAUCACAUAGCCUAUACCAUGUCAAUGCCUUUCCCUUUAAAAAUAAAGGGAAGGCCUUCUUCUUGACAUCAUCCUCGGGCAAACCUGCAAGCUUAAAUAAUCCACAAACUUCAUCCACAUAGAUUAGAUGCAUAUCAGGAUGUAGUGUUCCAUCGCCUGCAUAAGGAUUAGCUAGCAGUUUCUCUAUCAUACCUGAAGGAAUUUCAUAAUAAAUAUUUUCAGUAGGUUCAGUAGGUUGAGGAGAAACUUCUUACUCUACCGGUCGGGGUGAAGAUACCCCGAACAAGCCCCUCAAAGGAUUAUUUUCCAUAGUGACAAGUGACAGUAAAUUUCAGCAUGUAAUAUAAAUGUUUCCUUACCAAAUUCCACUCACCAAAGGCGCUUUACUCCCCGGCAAGGCGCCAGAAAAGAGUGCUGAUGACCCACAAGUAUAGGGUAUCUAUCGUAGUCCUUUCGAUAAGUAAGGGUGUCGAACCCAAUGAGGAGCAGAAGGAAAUGACAAGCGGUUUUCGGCAAGGUAUUCUCUACAAACACUGAAAUUAUCAAUAACAGAUAAUUGUGUGAUAAGAUAAUUCGUAACAGGUAACAAGUAACAAGUGUGACUAAGGUGCAGAAAGGUGGCCCAAUCCUUUUUGUAGCAAAGGACAAGCCUGGACAAACUCUUAUAUAAAGCAAAGCGCUCCCGAGGACACAUGGGAAUUAUUGUCAAGUUAGUUUUCAUCAUGCUCAUAUGAUUCGCGUUCGUUACUUUGAUAAUUUUAUAUGUGGGUGGACCGGUGCUUGGGUGUUGUUCUUACUUGAACAAGCCUCCCACUUAUGAUUAACCCCUCUCGCAAGCAUCCGCAACUAUGAAAGAAGAAUUAAGAUAAGGGAAAAUUUUGUUUUUGCCAGUCUAGAUUUUGCCAAUUUUGUUUAUGCCACUCUAAAUUUUGACAGAUCACUUUUACCACUCUUAGCUUUUGACAAUGUAUCACAAAUGCCACUCUGUUACACUUCCGUGAGUUGACCGUUUCUUCUACCCAGUUGACCAGGAAAAAACCUGCCAGUUUUUGUAAAAAUGACAUAAGUUGCCCCUACUGACUUGUGGGUCCACUUUGGAAGUGACCCGGGCCCUAAUCUAUACACAUACUCAUCCUGAGCUGACCUGCCCGCAGCACAUAACCGCACCUGGUCACCGCCACCAAAUCCGGCCACCACGUCGCCAUCUCCAGUCAUCGUCUCCGCACCCAUCGCAGCUAGCCGCCUCCAGCCGGAGGCGCGGCGCUCUGCCCCUGCUGGCCAGCGUGGCUCCUGCCGCAACUGCCGGCUGGUCGAGCGCGAUUCCUGGGCGCCGGCUGCGCUCCUCGUGGAGGAGCCCCGCCAUCGAGGCCUACCUCCUCGCACCGCGCCGCUCUCCUCGUGCCCAAGCGAUGGCAAUGACCCACCUCACCUACCUCCUUUCGUCCCGGAUGGAGACGUAGCCCCUCCACACCCGGGAUCUGGGAGCCCACGGGCCUGCGCGCCUCUAUCUUGUCUCCAAUGCCGCAUGUGCGCCUCCAGAGCUCCGCCUCAUCAUCAGCACCGACUGCGUGGGCAAGCCUCGUCGUCCAUCUCCUAUUGCUCUUCUCCAUGGCUGCGACGUACUCCCGUGCGUCCAUGCCGCUGCCUCCAAUCAGCGCUCCCAUCUAUCCUAGAUGCGGGAGUGGAGCUAGAUGCAUGUCCAAUCAGCGCUCCCAUGUCCUAGAUGCAUCUCCAGUGCUCCCUACUUGAUCUACACAUGGUGAAUCGGAGAUGCAUGCUAUGUGUUGGGCUUAGUGCGUGCUUGAUCCUUGAUGUUGAUUUGUGUUCAAUUCGGCUGAAUUGGAGAGACGGAGAUGCAUAUCAGCUUAUAUGUAUGUGUUUUACCUUGCGUGCCUGAUGAUGUGUGUGAAAGUGUAGUGAAUCAGAGAUGUAUUAACAUAUGGAUGCGUGGCUGCUUUAUUUGUUUGCAAAUUUCUUUUCUUAUUAGCAGAUGAACUCAGCCGAACCAAUGGUCUGUUGUUUUUGUCGGAUAUCAGUAAAAUUCCAGACUACGAAAACUGGAGUGGCAAAAGCAAAACAAAAAACCAAGGGCAAUAUGGUCUUGUACCUACUCCGUUUGGUCAAAAUGUGCCUUGACCUGACAGAGUGGCAUUUGCGAUACAUAGUGAAAACUAAAAGUGGCAAAAGUGAGAUGUUAAAUUUUAGAGUGGCAUAAGCAAAAUUGGCAAAAUCUAGAGUG